rnacentral:rRNA from 1 species
UACGGGGGGGGUAAGCGUUGUUCGGAAUUACUGGGCGUAAAGGGCUCGUAGGCGGCCAACUAAGUCAGACGUGAAAUCCCUCAGCUUGACUGGGGAACUGCGUCUGAUACUGGAUGGCUUGGAUUCGGGAGAGGAAUGCGGAAUUCCAGGUGUAGCGGUGAAAUGCGUAGAUAUCUGGAGGAACACCGGUGGCGAAGGCGGCAUUCUGGACCGAUAUUGACGCUGAGGAGCGAAAGCCAGGGGAGCAAACGGG